GCAUCCUCCGUCAGGUCUGGGGUGGCCCCAGUAAUGCGCGGGCCCCACCUGUCCACGCAGGGAUGGACGGACCCACCCCAGCCUCGCUUGUGACCCGGAACGGCCCCCCGUAAGCCCAGCGGAGAAAAACCUCAAAGCUUGAGAAAGUUGUGUUUCCGUGCUGAGCGGGACAGACAGAGUGGGUGAGAGCUUCCUGGAGGGACCCAGCGGCUCUUGGAGAGCCCGAUUCUGGAAGCGCGGUGUACUUGAGGUCGCCACUCCCUUACGCUCAGGAACACAGAAUGUCUUAGCAAGGGUCAUCCUAGGAGGAAGGCAGCCCUUACCACACAAGUAAGUUUGGAAGGAGACAUGGGCAAUCAAAUCCUUCCUCUCUGAUAACUAGGAGAAAUGUUGCUGAGAAGCACGCAUUAAAGUUUGAACUCUCCAGAGAUUAUUCUGAUUGCCGUUUCCAAGGAAAAGAAGCCAAUGAGAGAGCAGACUGGUCUUAUUUGUUUUAGAUGCCAGAUUUUACUGGGACUUCCUACUCACAGAAUGCCUGGGACCAUAAAAUAUGAAGGGAGAGAAGUUUGUCUUGGGAAAUUAAUCAUAAUUUUAAAAAAACAUCUCCAAUGGGAAGAUUUCUGAGAACAGCAAAACACCUGAUUUCUACUCGUUACAGAUCACACUGUAAAUCAGUUUCUAAAUUUUGCUGUCCCUUAACGACAGCUGCUUCAUAAGAAAAGUACACAUGACAUCUCAUUCUAUCAUGCAGCAUGCUCAUUUGUCGCCAAGAAGCCAUUUCUGCUCGUUGUUCCGUGCAUUGUAAUCGAAGGCUUUUCAUCUCAGUUACAUCAGCCAAGCUCUGCAAACUUUAGUGGCAACUGUAUACACAGCAAUGAAGCAUUUUGAAAGACCUGCCGGAAGUAUAAUGCCAAGCUUUGAUUUUAAUAGCACUAAAACUGUGCAGUGUAAAAGCCUUUAAAGGUGAGUGUAGGAACACAUUUCUACACAGGGACUCUGGUUAGAAUCACUCUAAAGACAAGCCAUGAAGUGUGGCUCACAGGACUGGCUCGGGAGUCAAAUGGAACAGGGUGAGUGGUCGAGUCUGUAUGCCUCAGCUCACUCGUAAUGGUGUUAAUGGAAUUGCUGAGAAUAAGGUUGUGAUAUGU